rfam:Smittium culicis strain GSMNP scaffold-3926, whole genome shotgun sequence.
GCCUGAUUAGCUCAGUGGUAGAGCGUUGGUCUUGUAUCGUCGAUAACCAAAGGUCUGGUGUUCAAUCCACCAAUUAGGCA